rnacentral:rRNA from 1 species
AGAGUUUGAUCCUGGCUCAGGACGAACGCCGGCGGCGUGCCUAACACAUGCAAGUCAGGGAGAAAAGGGUAGCAAUAUCCUGAGUAAACCGGCGAACGGGUGAGUAACACGUAGGCAACUUACCUUGUGAACGGGAAUAACCACGCGAAAGCGUGGCUAAUACCCGAUGACGUUCCGCUGUAGCAUUACAGUGGAAUUAAAGGCCCGCAAGGGCGUCACAAGAUGGGCCUGCGUCCCAUUAGAUAGUUGGCGGGGUAAUGGCCCACCAAGUCGACGAUGGGUAGCUGGUCUGAGAGGACGACCAGCCACACUGGAACUGAGACACGGUCCAGACUUCUACGGAAGGCAGCAGUGAGGAAUAUUGCUCAAUGGGCGAAAGCCUGAAGCAGCGACGCCGCGUGAGGGAUGAAAUCCGUUAGGAUGUAAACCUCUUUUAUAAGGGAAGAAUAUUCCGCUCGGCGGAAUUGACGGUACCUUAUGAAUAAGCACCGGCUAACUACGUGCCAGCAGCCGCGGUAAUACGUAGGGUGCGAGCGUUGUCCGGAAUUACUGGGUGUAAAGGGUCCGCAGGCGGGCAAAUAAGUCAGAGGUGAAAUGCUUCGGCUCAACCGAAGAAAUGCCUUUGAUACUGUUUGUCUUGAGUUCGAGAGAGGAUAGUGGAAUUCAUGGUGUAGCGGUGAAAUGCGUAGAGAUCAUGAAGAACACCAGUAGCGAAGGCGGCUAUCUGGCUCGAUACUGACGCUCAGGGACGAAAGCGUGGGUAGCAAACAGGAUUAGAUACCCUGGUAGUCC